AGUGGAAUUACUGGGCCAUAUGGUAAAUUUAUGCUUAACUCUUUGAGGAACUGUCAAACAGUUUUCCACAGUAGUUGUACCAUUUUGUAUUCCUACCAGCAAU
rnacentral:pre_miRNA from 1 species